UACAGAGGGGGCAAGCGUUAUUCGGAAUUAUUGGGCGUAAAGGGCGCGUAGGCGGCUUUGCAAGUGACGGGUGAAAUCCCUCGGCUUAACCGAGGAACUGCCUGUCAAACUGCAUGGCUUGAGACCGGGAGAGGUGAGUGGAAUUCCCAGUGUAGCGGUGAAAUGCGUAGAUAUUGGGGGGAACACCAGUGGCGAAGGCGGCUCACUGGACCGGUACUGACGCUGAUGCGCGAAAGCGUGGGGAGCAAACAGG
rnacentral:rRNA from 1 species